GAUUCAGGCCGAACACAUGCAAGUCGAACGAUGAAGCUAGAACUUGCUCCGGUGGAUUAGUGGCGAACGGGUGAGUAACACGUGAGCGAUCUGCCCUUGACUCUGGGAGAACUGCGGGAAACUGUAGCUAAUACGGGAUACGAGACUGAGAGGCAUCUUUCAGUCUGGAAAGAAUUUCGGUCAAGGAUGAGGUCGCGGCCUAUCAGCUAGUUGGUGAGGUAAUGGCUCACCAAGGCGAGGACGGGUAGCCGGCCUGGGAGGGUGACCGGCCACGCGGGAACUGAGACACGGUCCAGACUCCUACGGGAGGCAGCAGUGGGGAACAUUGCACAAUGAGGGAAAGCCUGAUGCAGCAA
rnacentral:rRNA from 1 species